rnacentral:rRNA from 2 species
GGUUAAGUGACUAAGCGUACACGGUGGAUGCCUAGGCAGUCAGAGGCGAUGAAGGGCGUGCUAAUCUGCGAAAAGCGUCGGUAAGGUGAUAUGAACCGUUACAACCGGCGAUACCCGAAUGGGGAAACCCAGUGUGUUUCGACACACUAUCAUGUCAUGAAUACAUAGUGGCAUGAGGCGAACCGGGGGAACUGAAACAUCUAAGUACCCCGAGGAAAAGAAAUCAACCGAGAUUCCCCCAGUAGCGGCGAGCGAACGGGGAGGAGCCCAGAACCUGAAUCGGCUUGUGUGUUAGUGGAAGCGUCUGGAAAGUCGCGCAGCAAAGGGUGAUAGCCCCGUACACUAAAAUGCACAGGUCGUGAGUUCGAUGAGUAGGGCGGGACACGUGACAUCCUGUCUGAAUAUGGGGGGACCAUCCUCCAAGGCUAAAUACUCCUGACUGACCGAUAGUGAACCAGUACCGUGAGGGAAAGGCGAAAAGAACCCCGGCGAGGGGAGUGAAAUAGAACCUGAAACCGUGUACGUACAAGCAGUGGGAGCACCUUCGUGGUGUGACUGCGUACCUUUUGUAUAAUGGGUCAGCGACUUAUAUUUUGUAGCAAGGUUAACCGUAUAGGGGAGCCGUAGGGAAACCGAGUCUUAACUGGGCGAAUAGUUGCAAGGUAUAGACCCGAAACCCGGUGAUCUAGCCAUGGGCAGGUUGAAGGUUGGGUAACACUAACUGGAGGACCGAACCGACUAAUGUUGAAAAAUUAGCGGAUGACUUGUGGCUGGGGGUGAAAGGCCAAUCAAACCGGGAGAUAGCUGGUUCUCCCCGAAAGCUAUUUAGGUAGCGCCUCGUGAACUCAUCUUCGGGGGUAGAGCACUGUUUCGGCUAGGGGGCCAUCCCGGCUUACCAAACCGAUGCAAACUCCGAAUACCGAAGAAUGUUAUCACGGGAGACACACGGCGGGUGCUAACGUCCGUCGUGAAGAGGGAAACAACCCAGACCGCCAGCUAAGGUCCCAAAGUCAUGGUUAAGUGGGAAACGAUGUGGGAAGGCACAGACAGCCAGGAUGUUGGCUUAGAAGCAGCCAUCAUUUAAAGAAAGCGUAAUAGCUCACUGGUCGAGUCGGCCUGCGCGGAAGAUGUAACGGGGCUAAACCAUGCACCGAAGCUGCGGCAGCGACGCUUAGGCGUUGUUGGGUAGGGGAGCGUUCUGUAAGCCGUUGAAGGUGGCCUGUGAGGGUUGCUGGAGGUAUCAGAAGUGCGAAUGCUGACAUAAGUAACGAUAAAGCGGGUGAAAAGCCCGCUCGCCGGAAGACCAAGGGUUCCUGUCCAACGUUAAUCGGGGCAGGGUGAGUCGACCCCUAAGGCGAGGCUGAAAAGCGUAGUCGAUGGGAAACAGGUUAAUAUUCCUGUACUUGGUGUUACUGCGAAGGGGGGACGGAGAAGGCUAGGCUGGCCGGGCGACGGUUGUCCCGGUUUAAGCGUGUAGGGGGUGUGACCUGGUAAAUCCGGUUGCAUAUCAACCCUGAGGCGUGAUGACGAUGCACUACGGUGCAGAAGUAGUUGAUGCCCUGCUUCCAGGAAAAUCCUCUAAGCUCCAGGUAACAUUAAAUCGUACCCCAAACCGACACAGGUGGUCAGGUAGAGAAUACCAAGGCGCUUGAGAGAACUCGGGUGAAGGAACUAGGCAAAAUGGUGCCGUAACUUCGGGAGAAGGCACGCUGGCAUGUAGGUGAAGUCCCUUGCGGAUGGAGCUGAAGCCAGUCGAAGAUACCAGCUGGCUGCAACUGUUUAAUAAAAACACAGCACUGUGCAAACACGAAAGUGGACGUAUACGGUGUGACGCCUGCCCGGUGCUGGAAGGUUAAUUGAUGGGGUCAGCCGCAAGGCGAAGCUCUUGAUCGAAGCCCCAGUAAACGGCGGCCGUAACUAUAACGGUCCUAAGGUAGCGAAAUUCCUUGUCGGGUAAGUUCCGACCUGCACGAAUGGCGUAAUGAUGGCCAGGCUGUCUCCACCCGAGACUCAGUGAAAUUGAACUCGCUGUGAAGAUGCAGUGUACCCGCGGCAAGACGGAAAGACCCCGUGAACCUUUACUAUAGCUUGACACUGAACAUUGAGCCUUGAUGUGUAGGAUAGGUGGGAGGCUUUGAAGCGUGGACGCCAGUCUGCGUGGAGCCAUCCUUGAAAUACCACCCUUUAAUGUUUGAUGUUCUAACUCUGCCCCGUAAUCCGGGGUGAGGACAGUGUCUGGUGGGUAGUUUGACUGGGGCGGUCUCCUCCCAAAGAGUAACGGAGGAGCACGAAGGUUAGCUAAUCACGGUCGGACAUCGUGAGGUUAGUGCAAAGGCAUAAGCUAGCUUGACUGCGAGAGUGACGGCUCGAGCAGGUACGAAAGUAGGUCUUAGUGAUCCGGUGGUUCUGAAUGGAAGGGCCAUCGCUCAACGGAUAAAAGGUACUCCGGGGAUAACAGGCUGAUACCGCCCAAGAGUUCAUAUCGACGGCGGUGUUUGGCACCUCGAUGUCGGCUCAUCACAUCCUGGGGCUGAAGUAGGUCCCAAGGGUAUGGCUGUUCGCCAUUUAAAGUGGUACGCGAGCUGGGUUUAGAACGUCGUGAGACAGUUCGGUCCCUAUCUGCCGUGGGCGUUGGAAGAUUGAGAGGGGUUGCUCCUAGUACGAGAGGACCGGAGUGAACGCACCACUGGUGUUCGGGUUGUCAUGCCAAUGGCAUUGCCCGGUAGCUAAGUGCGGAAAAGAUAAGCGCUGAAAGCAUCUAAGCGCGAAACUUGCCUCAAGAUGAGUCUUCCCUGGGCCUUUAAGGCCCCUGAAGGAACGUUUAAGACUAAGACGUUGAUAGGCUGGGUGUGUAAGUGCAGCGAUGCAUUGAGCUAACCAGUACUAAUGAUCCGUGAGGCUUAACCUU